rnacentral:tRNA from 1 species
GGAAAGGUGUCCGAGUGGUUGAUGGUGUAGACCUGGAACGUCUAUAUGAUGCUAAAUCAUCGAGGGUUCGAAUCCCUCUCUUUCCG